UACGUAGGGUGCAAGCGUUGUCCGGAUUUAUUGGGCGUAAAGAGCUCGUAGGCGGUCUGUCGCGUCGGAUGUGAAAACCCAGGGCUCAACCCUGGGCCUGCAUUCGAUACGGGCAGACUAGAGUGUGGCAGGGGAGACUGGAAUUCCUGGUGUAGCGGUGAAAUGCGCAGAUAUCAGGAGGAACACCAAUAGCGAAGGCAGCUCGCUGGGACGUUACUGACACUAAGGCGCGAAAGCGUGGGGAGCGAACAGG
rnacentral:rRNA from 1 species